rnacentral:rRNA from 1 species
AUGGCGCCGUCGUUCUGGGGGAGGGAGGCGAGGCUGAGCGACGGGGGCGGCGGGACGCCGGUGGUGGUCAAGAUGGAGAACCCCAACUGGUCGAUCUCCGAGAUGGAGCAGGAGCCGGUGCCGGGGUCGCCGGCGGGGCUGGCGGCCGGCAAGGCCGGGCGCGGCAAGAACGCGCGCCAGAUCACCUGGGUGCUGCUCCUCAAGGCGCACCGCGCGGCGGGGCGCCUCACGGGCGCGGCCUCCGCGGCGCUCGCCGUCGCCGCCGCCGCGCGCCGGCGGGUGGCGGCGGGCCGGACGGACGGCGACGCCGCGCCCGGGGAGAGCACGGCCCUGCGCGCGCGCUUCUACGGCUGCCUCAGGGUCUUCGUCGUGCUCUCCAUGCUGCUGCUCGCCGUCGAGGUGGCCGCCUACCUCCAGGGCUGGCACCUCCAGAUGCCCCAGAUGCCCGAGAUGCCGGGCCAGCUCGCGAUGGACGGCCUCCUCGCCGUCGACGGGCUCGCCGCCGCCGCCUACGCCGGCUGGAUGCGCGUCCGCCUCCAGUACAUCGCGCCGCCGCUGCAGUUCCUCACCAACUCCUGCGUCGUGCUCUUCAUGAUCCAGAGCGUCGACCGCCUCGUCCUCUGCCUCGGCUGCCUCUGGAUCAAGCUCCGGGGCAUCAAGCCCGUGCCCAUCGCCGCCGACAAGGACGACGUCGAGGCCGGCGACGAGGACUUCCCCAUGGUCCUCGUGCAGAUGCCCAUGUGCAACGAGCGAGAGGUCUACCAGCAAUCCAUUGGCGCAAUUUGCGCUCUCGAUUGGCCAAGGUCAAACUUCUUGGUGCAGGUGCUGGACGACUCCGAUGAUGCUACCACCUCGGCGCUCAUCAAGGAGGAGGUUGAGAAAUGGCAGCGGGAGGGCGUGCGGAUAGUGUACAGGCACCGGGUGAUCAGGGACGGAUACAAGGCUGGAAACCUCAAAUCAGCAAUGAACUGCAGUUAUGUGAAAGACUAUGAAUAUGUUGUCAUCUUCGAUGCCGAUUUCCAGCCACAGGCGGAUUUCCUCAAGCGCGCCAUGCCCCAUUUCAAGGGGAAGGACGAUGUUGGGUUGGUUCAGGCGAGAUGGUCGUUCGUGAACAACGAUGAGAACCUGUUGACCAGAUUACAGAACAUAAACCUGUGCUUCCACUUCGAGGUGGAGCAGCAGGUGAAUGGAGCGUUUCUCAACUUCUUCGGGUUCAAUGGGACUGCCGGAGUGUGGAGAAUCAAGGCUCUUGAGGACUCCGGUGGCUGGAUGGAGAGGACAACGGUGGAGGACAUGGACAUUGCCGUCCGGGCACAUCUCAAGGGAUGGAAGUUCCUCUACCUGAAUGAUGUUGAGUGCCAAUGCGAGUUGCCAGAAUCAUAUGAGGCAUACAGAAAGCAGCAGCACAGGUGGCACUCAGGCCCCAUGCAGCUGUUUAGACUCUGCUUUGUGGACAUUAUAAAAUCCAAGAUUGGAUUCUGGAAGAAGUGCAACCUGAUAUUCCUAUUCUUCCUCCUCCGCAAGCUCAUCCUGCCCUUCUACUCAUUCACCCUCUUCUGCGUCAUCCUCCCCAUGACAAUGUUCGUCCCCGAGGCCGAGCUUCCCGCAUGGGUGGUAUGCUACAUUCCAGCGACAAUGUCCAUCAUGAGCAUCCUGCCAUCCCCAAAGUCCUUCCCGUUCAUCGUCCCGUACCUCCUCUUCGAGAACACCAUGUCGGUGACCAAGUUCAACGCCAUGAUCUCCGGCCUGUUCCAGCUCGGGAGCGCCUACGAGUGGGUGGUGACCAAGAAGUCGGGCCGCUCCUCCGAGGGCGACCUCGUGGCGCUCGUCGAGAAGCACACCGCACAGCAGCAGCAGAGGGUCGGGUCGGCGCCGGACCUCGCCGGGCUGGCGGCCAAGGACUCGUCGCUCCCCAAAAAGGACGCCCCCAAGAAGAAGCAGAAGCACAACAGGAUCUACCGGAAGGAGCUGGCGCUGUCGUUCCUCCUGCUGACGGCGGCGGCUCGCAGCGUGCUGUCGGCGCAGGGCAUCCACUUCUACUUCCUCCUGUUCCAGGGCGUCUCCUUCCUCGUGAUGGGCCUCGACCUGAUCGGCGAGCAAGUGGAGUGA